GUGCUGGCCAACUGACUAGAUGCCGCCGUUGCCAGACAGCAAAAUCUAGAUGGUUACAUGACCAACAUCAAAGCUAGCUCCUAUACUGGUCAUUGACCUCGGAUAUUAGCUGCCAGGAUAAGGGAUAAGUGUCAGAUCCGACUGCUGUUACACAUUUUAUACUACUCCUUUAAAGACAAAGAUCCGAAACCCAACCCUAUAUGAAGUAGCAGGUAGCUAUACAGAGCCCUCUCAUUUCUGGCAGCCUCCCAGUCUGACUGGGAGCACAUGCAGGAAUAACCAGCAUCUGCCAUCUCCUGUUAGAAUGGCUUCUUUCCACUGUGAACACUGCAGCCGCAUGUCUACACUGCUGCCUGCGUCCUAUGCAAUGAGUUUGUGGUUCUCAGGCACACUAAAGCAUGACCUGCCUGCUCAGCCAAUUCAGGCAGGUCCUACACCAAAUACAUCGACUCAGGAACAGGUGAAGGGACAAGUGCCGGGGAACCUGAAGAGACUGUGUGAGUAAGUCUGGCUAUUUUUUUUUAAGUCUCAGAAUACCACUUUAACCCUCAUCUGUACAAUCCUAACAGUUUUUGUUGGGGAUAUUAGGCAAACUGCCUUAAACAAAGGAUAGUCCUGUGCGCCCACCAAAAUCCAGAGGUUUGACAUGUAUGUGCACCUAAGACAUGCACUAGGAAUCUUCUGUGACAAUGAUUUAGGGGAGAAUCUCCAAUACAUGUGAUAAUGACACCUUUUUUCAGAUGAAUAGAGAAUCAGACAGAAUACAGGUGCCCAAUAAAUCGCUUCAUACAACUCAAGAGUCAUAACCCGGCUGUGUGCAUAAGGCCCAUCUUGUAACAAAGUCUUCAGUGCGCCUUGAAAACUCUAAGCAUCAUACAUUAUUCAGAGAGAAAACGUCUACCCUGUCAGUUAACAGCUACAUGCUGACAGACUAUCCCAUGUUUUAUUUACCGUAAAAUCCAGACUCAUUUUCUGAAAUGACCGAUACAUGUUAAAAUCCAUCCAGACAUACGGUAAAUGA